rnacentral:lncRNA from 1 species
CUUAUGUAGCUUACCCUUUAGAACUUUCUGAAGAAGGUUCUGUUACCAACAUAUUUACUUCCAUUGUAGGUAACGUAUUUGGGUUCAAAGCCCUGUACGCUCUACGUCUGGAAGAUCUGCGAAUCCCUCCUACUUAUGUUAAAAUUUUCCAAGGUCCGCCUCAUGGGAUCCAAGUUGAAAGAGAUAAAUUGAACAAGUAUGGUUGUCCCCUGUUGGGAUGUACUAUUAAACCUAAAUUGGGGUUAUCUGCUAAAAACUACGGUAGAGCUGUUUAUGAAUAUCUUCGCGGUGGACUUGAUUUUACCAAAGAUGAUGAGAACGUGAACUCACAACCAUUUAUGCGUUGGAGAGAUCGUUUCUCGCGGUGGACUUGAUUUUACCAAUGCGAACAUGAACUCACAACCAUUUAUGCGUUGGAUAGAUCGUUUCUUAUGUUGUGCCAAAGCACUUUAUAAAGCACAAGUGAAAUCAAAGGGAAUUACUUGAAUGCUACAGGUAUAUGCAAAGAAAUGAUCAAAAGAGCUGUAUUUACUAGAGAAUUGGGCGUUCCGAUCGUAAUGCAUGACUAGUUAACAGGGGGAUUCACCGCAAAUACUAGCUUUGCUCAUUAUUUCCGAGAUAAUGGUCUACUUCUUCACGUCCACCGUGCAAUGCAUGCAGUUAUUGAUAGACAGAAGAAUCAUGGUAUCCACUUCCGCGUAUUAGCAAAAGUGUUACAAAUGUUGGGUGGAGAUCAUAUUCACUCUGGUAC